ensembl:antisense C130080G10Rik RIKEN cDNA C130080G10 gene
GGUAUCUUUUGGCUUUGUGAUAAUAACCACAACCUGAGGAUGAUCGGAUGAUGAGUGCGGUUUUGACUUGCAUUUCCCUGAUCCUGGAGUGGCUGCUCCCUGAAGAGAGUCCUGGUCCUAGGAAUCUGGGAUUCUACCUGAAGUCCCAAAGAUGAACAAAUGGUAGAGAGGCACCUGACUGAGCCUGCUUCCUAACCGACUUCUCAGAACUGUCUGCCGCUGGGCUGCCUAACAGAAGCUCAAGUUCUGGGAUUCCACCCUUGAAGAGAAAUGAAUCUGCACUUAGUGAGCCCUGUAGGUCAGGACAUGUAGUUCUUGCUACCCUGAAGCUCACUAUGUACGACAGACUGGCCCCAACACACUGAGAUCUGCGUGGUUCUGUCUCCCCGGUGCUGAGAUCAAAGGCACGUGUAUAGUUAGGGUACAGGACUUUUACUUAUAUGUUAUGGCUCUAGGUUUGUUUUCAUGGGAUUCCUGAUUGUGCCAGCAAUUGGGUCUCUGUGUCUACAUCUGUUUCUUUUGCCUUUUCUUUGACUCCCUCUCUUUUGUUUGUUUCGUUUGCCCUAUUCUGAUGUGUUAGUUUUUGUUUUAUCUUAUUAUAUUUUAUUAUUAUUCAUCAAGUGCCCUUCUGUUUUCUGAAGAGAAACAGAAAGGUGGUGAAUUUGCAUGGGGUGGGAGGCAUAGGAGAACUGGGAGGAGUAAAGAGAGAAGAGAUCAUAAUCAGGAUAUAUUGUAUGAAAAAAAAAACCAGACUAU